AACGAACGCUGGCGGCAUGCCUAACACAUGCAAGUCGAACGAGACCUUCGGGUCUAGUGGCGCACGGGUGCGUAACGCGUGGGAACCUGCCCUUAGGUUCGGAAUAACUCCCCGUAAGGGGUGCUAAUACCGGAUAAUGUCUUCGGACCAAAGAUUUAUCGCCUUGGGAUGGGCCCGCGUUGGAUUAGCUAGUUGGUAGGGUAAAAGCCUACCAAGGCGACGAUCCAUAGCUGGUCUGAGAGGAUGAUCAGCCACACUGGGACUGAGACACGGCCCAGACUCCUACGGGAGGCAGCAGUGGGGAAUAUUGGACAAUGGGCUAAAGCCUGAUCCAGCAAUGCCGCGUGAGUGAUGAAGGCCUUAGGGUUGUAAAGCUCUUUUACCCGGGAUGAUAAUGACAGUACCGGGAGAAUAAGCACCGGCUAACUCCGUG
rnacentral:rRNA from 1 species